GGCAUAUGAUGGCUAUUUUCUCACGAUGGUCUGCGGAUGCCGCUGACGGGCAGUGCCGAUAAUGCCAUGGGCUCAACUGAUGCCAGGAG
ensembl:snoRNA Snord35a small nucleolar RNA, C/D box 35A